rnacentral:rRNA from 1 species
CCUACGGGCGACAGCAGUGAGGAAUCUUGGUCAAUGGGCUUACGCCUGAACCAGCCAAGUCGCGUGAGGGAAGACUGCCCUAUGGGUUGUAAACCUCUUUUGUCGGGGAGCAAGGCCCGCCACGUGUGGCGGGAAGGAGAGUACCCGAAGAAAAAGCAUCGGCUAACUCCGUGCCAGCAGCCGCGGUAAUACGGAGGAUGCGAGCGUUAUCCGGAUUUAUUGGGUUUAAAGGGUGCGUAGGCGGAAGGUUAAGUCAGCGGUCAAAUGUAGGUGCUCAAAACCGGCGGGCCGUUGAAACUGGUCUUCUUGAGUGAGCGAGAAGUAUGCGGAAUGCGUGGUGUAGCGGUGAAAUGCAUAGAUAUCACGAAGAACUCCGAUUGCGAAGGCAGCAUACCGGCGCUCAACUGACGCUGAGGCACGAAAGCGUGGGGAUCGAACAGGAUUAGAGACCCGUGUAGUC